rnacentral:rRNA from 1 species
CCUACGGGGGGCUGCAGUAGGGAAUCUUCCGCAAUGGACGAAAGUCUGACGGAGCAACGCCGCGUGAGCGAAGAAGGUCUUCGGAUCGUAAAGCUCUGUUGUUAGGGAAGAACAAGUACGGGAGGAAAUGACCGUACCUUGACGGUAAUUGACGAGGAAGCCACGGCUACCUACGUGCCAGCAGCCGCGGUAAUACGUAGGUGGCAAGCGUUGUCCGGACUUAUUGGGCGUAAAGCGCGCGCAGGCGGCCUUUUAAGCCUGAUGUGAAAUCUUGCCGCUCGACCGCAUACGGUCAUUGGAACCUGGGAGACUUGAGUGCCGAAGAGGAAAGCGGGAUUCCACGUGUAACGGUGAAAUGCGUAGGGAUGUGAAGGAACACCAGUGGCGAGGGCGGCUUUCUGGUCCGUAACUAACGCUGAGGCGCGAGAGCGUGGGGAGCAAACAGGAAUGGAUACCCUUGUAGUC